rnacentral:rRNA from 1 species
CCUACGGGCGGCUGCAGUGGGGAAUAUUGCACAAUGGGCGCAAGCCUGAUGCAGCCAUGCCGCGUGUGUGAAGAAGGCCGUUGGGUUGUAAAGCACUUUCAGCGGGGAGGAAGGCGGUGAGGUUAAUAACCUCAUCGAUUGACGUUACCCGCAGAAGAAGCACCGGCUAACUCCGUGCCAGCAGCCGCGGUAAUACGGAGGGUGCAAGCGUUAAUCGGAAUUACUGGGCGUAAAGCGCACGCAGGCGGUCGGUCAAGUCGGAUGUGAAAUCCCCGGGCUCAACCUGGAACUGCAUUCGAAACUGGCAGGCUAGAGUCUUGUAGAGGGGGGUAGAAUUCCAGGUGUAGCGGUGAAAUGCGUAGAGAUCUGGAGGAAUACCGGUGGCGAAGGCGGCCCCCUGGACAAAGACUGACGCUCAGGUGCGAAAGCGUGGGGAGCAAACAGGAUUAGAUACCCGUGUAGUC